rnacentral:rRNA from 1 species
CCCAUAACAACAGAAAGCGCAUGCUUUUUGUUUGAAAACCAAGGUGGUAUGGGAUGGACCCGCGUCUGAUUAGCUGGUUGGCGGGGUAAAGGCCCACCAAGGCGACGAUCAGUAGCCGGCCUGAGAGGGUGGACGGCCACAUUGGGACUGAGACACGGCCCAAACUCCUACGGGAGGCAGCAG